ACGCCCACUUUUGUUAGAA
rnacentral:tRNA from 1 species